CAAAUUGUGGCAUAGUGGUAAGUGCGCUUGGACGGUACCCAAGAGACACAGGUUUGAAUCCCGUUUACUUUA
rnacentral:tRNA from 1 species